AAACUACAAUGUCGGCAGGUUCCAAGAGCGUCCUAGUUCCCACUGAUGCCGAGCUGCUGCAGGCACAAGCAGAUCUAUGGCGCCACAGCCUCUACUACCUCACCUCCAUGGCGUUCAAGUGUGCCGUCGAGCUCGGCGUCCCAACUGCCAUCCAUAACCUGGGAGGGGCUGCAUCGGUGAAGGACCUGGUAACAACACUAUCCCUCCCGGAAACUAAGCUGCCGUUCCUGCGCCGUGUGAUGCGGUUGCUGGUCACCUCUGGCAUCUUUGCAUCUGAAAGCAGCGCCGAUGUGGAGACCUACCGCCUCAACCCUCUCUCCUGGCUCCUGGUGGAAGGUGUGGAUGCUGAAGACCACACCAACCAGAGAAGUUUCGUGUUAGCCACUGUCUCGCGGCAUUAUGUUGAAGCAGCGAUGUCCCUUGCUGACUGGUUCAAGAAGGAUUUGGCGCCCCCUCUCCCAUCGCCGUUCGAGGAACUACAUGGUGUGCCACUCCUUCAUGAGAAAACACCACUCUUGGACAAAGAUCUUCACGACGUUGUUCUUGAAGGUUUGGCAGCACAUGACAAUUUGGCAAUAGGAACAAUUAUGCGGGAGUGCCAUGAUCUUUUCCGGGGGGUGCAGUCGCUAAC
rnacentral:lncRNA from 1 species